UACGUAGGGCGCGAGCGUUGUCCGGAAUUAUUGGGCGUAAAGCGUGCGUAGGUGGUUUGUUAAGUCUGUUGUGAAAGCCCCGGGCUCAACCUGGGAAUGGCAAUGGAUACUGGCAAGCUAGAGUGCGGUAGAGGGUAGUGGAAUUCCCGGUGUAGCGGUGAAAUGCGUAGAGAUCGGGAGGAACACCAGUGGCGAAGGCGGCUACCUGGACCAGCACUGACACUGAGGCACGAAAGCGUGGGGAGCAAACAGG
rnacentral:rRNA from 1 species